ACUGAGUGGCAAACGGGUGAGUAUAAUGUGGGAAUCUGCCUUUUGGUUUGGAAUAACACGGGGAAACUUGUGCUAAUACCGAAUAAGCCCUUACGGGGAAAGUUUUAAUGCCAAAAGAUGAGCCCGCACUUGAUUAGCUAGUUGGUAAGGUAAAAGCUUACCAAGGCAACGAUCAAUAGCUGUUCUUAGAGGAAGACCAGCCACAUUGGGACUGAGACACGGCCCAGACUCCUACGGGAGGCAGCAGUGGGGAAUCUUGCACAAUGGGGGAAACCCUGAUGCAGCGAUGCCGCGUGAGUGAAGAAGGCCUUUGGGUUGUAAAACUCUUUCGUCGGGGAAGAAAAUGACUGUACCCGAAUAAGAAGGUCCGGCUAACUUCGUGCCAGCAGCCGCGGUAAUACGAAGGGACCUAGCGUAGUUCGGAAUUACUGGGCUUAAAGAGCUCGUAGGUGGUUAAAAAAGUUGAUGGUGAAAUCCCAAGGCUCAACCUUGGAACUGCCAUCAAAACUUUUUAGCUAGAGUGUGAUAGAGGUAAGUGGAAUUUCUAGUGUAGAGGUG
rnacentral:rRNA from 1 species